UUUAAUGGUCUAACCAGAGUCGAACCGGGAUCGAACCGAUUUAAUUAAAUAUACAAAAUUAUUUAAAAAUUGAUAUUCAAUUUCAAAUAUUUAAAUUCAAUAUUUUUAAACUAAUUUUAAUUCAAUUACAAAUUUCAAAUAUAAGACAAAAUUCAAUUCAAUUCAGUUACAAAUUCCAUUGAUUCCACCAAAUUGCUAGCAUACCAUAAGCCCUAUUCCAAUCUGUUCAUCAACAAAAUAAAUAAAACAUUAGAAAAAUCAAUUGGGAUUUUUUUUGGUAGCAUUACAACAGGGAACGAAAGAUUUUAAAUUAUAAGUAUAGUUUGCUGUGACAGAGUGCAAAUAUCUUGUCUUCAACAAUUCCAGCAGCUUUGGUUUAACAUUCAACAAAACAAAUAAAUAAUUCAAUUUCAAACUCAGAACAGAGACUCAGCUCAGAAUCUUCAAAAUUAGUUGGAAAAAAGAUGAAUGGCAAAGAGCCAAAGACAGAAUGAGCUCGGAGAGUCUGAGACAGAGUUACCUAAAAUCAGAGGAGAAGAGAAGGGGCGACAGCCAAAACGGUGAGGAGUGGAACAGCGACGACCCACGGCGAAGAGGGAGCAGCGAUGACCCACGGUGAGGAGUAGAGCAGCGACGACCCACGGCGAGGAGCGAAGAAGCAGCGACAGCAAGAGAGCUCGAAGAGGGACCUUGAGCUUGGACAAAGACACAGAGAGAGAGAGAGAGAGAGAGCGCACUUGAACACGAGAUCCACAGUCUGUCCCGCCGGUGGCCAAGGAAAGGAGAUCAAUGAUGAAGAAGGUGGUGGCUAGGGCUUCUAGUGGGUGUUUGCUCUGGUAGGGUUCAAUUUGGGAUUUUGGUAAAUAGUAAAUACUCAAUAGUGAGAGAGAUAGAAGGGAGAGAGGGUGUCUGUUUUACUUCAGCCCGUCUGGGCUUUUCUUUUUUUUUUUUUAAGGAUCAAAACGACGCCGUUUAACCCGCUCUCUAAAUAACAGGCCCAGUGUAGCCGGUUCAUUGGUUAACCACCGGUUUAACCGGUUUUUUACCGAUUUUUUGCAGAUCGAUUUUAGACAUCAACCGAACUGUCCAUAAGAUUGAUUUUCGGUUAACCCGGUCAAACUAGUCGGUCUGAUCCGAUUUUUAAAAGUUUUUAUUGUAAUAUAUCCACCAUUACCUAAAUUUUGAAUAAAAU
rnacentral:lncRNA from 1 species